rnacentral:rRNA from 1 species
UACGAAGGGGGCUAGCGUUGCUCGGAAUCACUGGGCGUAAAGGGUGCGUAGGCGGGUCUUUAAGUCAGGGGGGAAAUCCUGGAGCUCAACUCCAGAACUGCCUUUGAUACUGAGGAUCUUGAGUUCGGGAGAGGAGAGUGGAACUGCGAGUGUAGAGGUGAAAUUCGUAGAUAUUCGCAAGAACACCAGUGGCGAAGGCGGCUCACUGGCCCGAUACUGACGCUGAGGCACGAAAGCGUGGGGAGCAAACAGG